UUGAGGUAGCCCCCAAAAUAUUGGGACAUAUAAAAAAUGACAACUCAGUUCUGCAGAGUAGCUGUUGACAUUAUAGUUGUGCAGGCACUUUGUUGACUCUAGAGAACCUUGGGCCAAUCGCACAUCCCCGUGGCGGCGACUUUGCAUGCGGAUGUCAUCCAUAUCAACUUUCGAUGCCAGUUUCUGCGCCUACCAUGGUGACCACGGGUAACAGGGAAUCAGGGUUCCAUUCCGUACAGGGACACUGAGAAACAGCUACCACAUGCAAGGAAGGCAGCAGGCACGCAAAUGACCCACUCCCGACGCGGUAGUGGGUAGUGACGA